GGCCCUGUGGCCUAAUAGAUAAGGCGUCGGUCUCCUAAACGGAAGAUUCAAGGUUCGAGUCCUUGUUGGGUGG
rfam:Angiostrongylus cantonensis strain Taiwan genome assembly, scaffold: ACAC_contig0000364